AACGAACGCUGGCGGCAGGCUUAACACAUGCAAGCCGAGCGCAUCCUUCGGGGUGAGCGGCGGACGGGUGAGUAACGCGUGGGAACGUGCCCUCUUCUACGGAAUAGCCUCGGGAAACUGAGAGUAAUGCCGUAUACGCCCGCAAGGGGAAAGAUUUAUCGGAGGAGGAUCGGCCCGCGUUGGAUUAGGUAGUUGGUGGGGUAACGGCCUACCAAGCCGACGAUCCAUAGCUGGUUUGAGAGGAUGAUCAGCCACACUGGGACUGAGACACGGCCCAGACUCCUACGGGAGGCAGCAGUGGGGAAUCUUGGACAAUGGGGGCAACCCUGAUCCAGCCAUGCCGCGUGAUCGAUGAAGGCCUUAGGGUUGUAAAGAUCUUUCAGCUGGGAAGAUAAUGACGGUACCAGCAGAAGAAGCCCCGGCUAACUCCGUG
rnacentral:rRNA from 1 species